UACGAAGGGGGCUAGCGUUGCUCGGAAUUACUGGGCGUAAAGCGCACGUGGGCGGCUUCUUAAGUCGGUGGUGAAAUCCUGGAGCUCAACUCCAGAACUGCCUUCGAUACUGGGAAGCUCGAGUCCGGGAGAGGUGAGUGGAACUGCGAGUGUAGAGGUGAAAUUCGUAGAUAUUCGCAAGAACACCAGUGGCGAAGGCGGCUCACUGGCCCGGUACUGACGCUGAGGUGCGAAAGCGUGGGGAGCAAACAGG
rnacentral:rRNA from 1 species